UGAAGCAAAAGUCGCUAGUUUCCCUUUCUA
rnacentral:piRNA from 1 species